rnacentral:lncRNA from 1 species
AAGACACUAUGUAGAUAUUCAUUCAGGCAUUUUCACAAACAUAUGGCAGGCAUCUCAGCUUAAUGACCAAAACGCAAAGGGAGAAUUAGCAACUUAAAAUCACAUGACCAUAUCAUAAUCCAAGCAGGCUCGAAUUAAUAGCGUAUCUUCAAUAAGAUGUUGUUUUCACUCUAAAGUUCUCAAUCUCCACCUUUGCAUUAAUGACUCAUACUUGUUUAUUCAAACCCUCAGCUUUUGCCCUCACACGGAUAUCAUUCCCAACAACAUUACUCUUGUAUUUUGACCAUGAAAUCCAAUCACAACUAGUUCUGUUCUACAACAGAAAUCAUGAUCUACUUCAACACCAGACACAGAACCUAGCGGUUUUUCAUAUACAGAUCAUGAUCGAGCCAGAGAGAACGAUCUAAGAGAGAGCGACAGAACUUGCGCGAGACAGAGCAAAUAAGAGAGAGGAAUAGAGAGAGAACCUGAUCCAGCGAAUCCAAUCCAGAGAGAGAAACACCGAUCGAGCAAGCAAGCGUCCGAUCUCCGAGAAAAAAUUAGGUCUUCACAAUCUCCA